rnacentral:rRNA from 1 species
AUACGGAGGGUGCAAGCGUUGUCCGGAAUUAUUGGGUGUAAAGGGUGUGCAGGCGGGGCGGUAAGUCAGGGGUGAAAGUCUACGGCUCAACCGUAGGAUGGCCUUUGAUACUGUCGUCCUUGAGUCCCAGAGAGGCCAUUAGAAUUCGUGGUGUAGCGGUGAAAUGCGUAGAUAUCACGAGGAAUACCGGAAGCGUAGGCGGAUGGCUGGACGGCGACUGACGCUCAGGCACGAAAGCGUGGGGAGCGAACAGGAUUAGAUACCCUGGUAGUCCACGCUGUAAACGAUGGAUGCUCGGUGUUCGACUCCGUUAGCGGGUUGAGUGCCCAAGUUAACGCGAUAAGCAUCCCACCUGGGGAGUACGCUCGCAAGAGUGAA